CCUUUAUGUGUAAGGUUAGCUUUUGUAUUUGAGUUCUUUCCAGUUUUUGAAUGGAUGCUUGUAUUGCGAUGUAUUUCCCCCUUAGGACUGCUUUUGCUGCAUCCCAAAGAUUUUGAACGGUUGUAUCUUCAUUCUCAUUAGUUUCCAUGAAUCUUUUUAAUUCUUCCUUAAUUUCCUGGUUGACCCUUUUAUCUUUUAGCAGGAUGGUCCUUAACCUCCACGUGUUUGAGGUCCUUCCAAACUUCUUGUUGUGAUUUAGUUCUAAUUUCAAGGCAUUAUGGUCCGAGAAUAUGCAGGGGACAAUCCCAAUCUUUUGGUAUCGGUUCAGACCCGAUUUGUGACCCAAUAUGUGGUCUAUUCUGGAGAAAGUUCCAUGUGCGCUUGAGAAGAAUGUGUAUUCAGUUGAGUUUGGAUGUAAAGUUCUGUAGAUAUCUGUGAAAUCCAUCUGGUCCAGUGUAUCAUUUAAAGCUCUCGUUUCUUUGGAGAUGUUUUGCUUAGAAGACCUAUCGAGUAUAGAAAGAGCUAGAUUGAAGUCACCAAGUAUAAGUGUAUUAUUAUCUAAGUAUUUCUUCACUUUGGUUAAUAAUUGAUUUAUAUAUUUGGCAGCUCCCACAUUCGGAGCAUAUAUAUUGAGGAUUGUUAAGUCCUCUUGUUGAAUAGAUCCUUUAAGUAUGAUAUAGUGUCCCUCUUCAUCUCUCACUACAGUCUUUGGGGUAAAUUUUAGUUUAUCUGAUAUAAGGAUGGCUACCCCUGCUUUCUUUUGAGGACCAUUCGAAUGGUAAAUGGUUCUCCAACCUUUUAUUUUCAGGCUGUAGGUGUCCUUCUGUCUAAAAUGAGUCUCUUGUAGACAGCAAAUAGAUGGGUCCUGCUUUUUUAUCCAGUCUGAAACCCUGCGCCUUUUGAUGGGGUCAUUAAGCCCGUUUACAUUCAGAGUUACUAUUGAGAGAUAUGAGUUUAGUGUCAUCAUGAUAUCUAUUCAGUCUUUGUUUUUGUGGACUGUUCCACUGAACUUCUUCUUAAAGGGGAAUUUUAAGAGUCCCCCUUAAAAUUUCUUGCAGAGCUGGUUUGGAGGUCACAUAUUCUUUUAGUUGCUGCCUGUCUUGGAAGCUCUUUAUCUCUCCUUCCAUUUUGAAUGAGAGCCUUGCUGGAUAAAGUAUUCUUGGUUGCAUGUUCUUCUCCUUUAGGACCCUGAAUAUAUCCUGCCAGCCCUUUCUGGCCUGCCAGGUCUCUGUGGAGAGGUCUGCUGUUACCCUAAUACUCCUCCCCAUAAAAGUCAGGGAUUUCUUGUCUCUUGCUGCUUUAAGGAUCUUCUCCUUAUCUUUGGAAUUUGCAAGCUUCACAAUUAAAUGUCGAGGUGUUGAACGGUUUUUAUUGAUUUUAGGGGGGAUCUCUCUAUUUCCUGGAUCUGAAUGCCUGUUUCCCUUCCCAGAUUAGGAAAGUUUUCAGCUAGAAUUUGUUCAAAUACAUAUUCUGGCCCUCUGUCCCUUUCGGCGCCCUCGGGAACCCCAAUUAAACGUAGGUUUUUCUUCCUCAGGCUGUCGUUUAUUUCCCUUAAUCUAUCUUCAUGGUCUUUUAAUUGUUUGUCUCUUUUUUCCUCAGUUUCCCUCUUUGCUAUCAACUUGUCUUCUAUGUCACUCACUCGUUCUUCCACCUCGUUAACCCUCGUCGUUAGGACUUCUAGUUUGGAUUGCAUCUCAUUCAAUUGAUUUUUAAUUUCUGCCUGAUUAGCUCUAAAUUCUGCAGUCAUGAAGUCUCUUGAGUCCUUUAUACUUUUUUUCUAGAGCCACCAGUAGCUGUAUAAUAGUGCUUCUGAAUUGGCUUUCUGACAUUGAAUUGUAAUCCAGAUUUUGUAACUCUGUGGGAGAGAGGACUGUUUCUGAUUCUUUCUUUUGAGGUGAGGUUUUCCUUCUAGUCAUUUCGCUCAGUGCAGAGUGGCCAAAAGCAAGUUGUAUUGGGAAAAAAGAAAAAAGAGAGGAGAGAAAGAAGGAAAGAAAAGAGAAAGAGAAAAAAAGGGAAGAAAAAGAAAAAAAAACGAAAAAAAAA
rnacentral:lncRNA from 1 species